rnacentral:rRNA from 1 species
GACGAACGCUGGCGGCGUGCUUAACACAUGCAAGUCGAGCGACUGCAUUCUUUUCGGAGGGUGUAUGGAGCGGCGAACGGGUGAGUAACACGUGAGUAAUCUGCCUUUGGCUUGGGAAUAACUUCGGGAAAUCGGGGCUAAUGCCUGAUGUUUACUGUCUGCUGCAUGGUGGGUGGUGGAAAGAUUUUUUGGCCAGGAUGAGCUCGCGGUCUAUCAGCUUGU